rnacentral:rRNA from 1 species
UACGAAGGGGGCUAGCGUUGCUCGGAAUCACUGGGCGUAAAGCGCACGUAGGCGGAUUGCUAAGUCAGGGGUGAAAUCCUGGAGCUCAACUCCAGAACUGCCUUUGAUACUGGCGAUCUCGAGUUCGGGAGAGGUGAGUGGAACUGCGAGUGUAGAGGUGAAAUUCGUAGAUAUUCGCAAGAACACCAGUGGCGAAGGCGGCUCACUGGGCCGAAAGUGACGCUGAGGAGCGAAAGCGUGGGGAGCAAACAGG